GAGAGAGAGAGAGAGAGAGAGAGAGGGGGAAGAGAAACAGACAGAAGGAAAGAGGAAAGGAGAAGAGUGAAAGAAAGAACAGUAAAGGGAGAGACAGACUGAGACUCAAGAAAAAAGAGACAGAAUACUACUAGUAAUGUGAGAGCGUGCAGCACGUGUCGCUGGAAACACCGCCACAGAAAAGAGAAGACAGGAGACGCAACACAAACCUGAGCCAACUCAGGAAUGUGAUUUAAGGAAAG